AGUCGAGCGGUACAGGAGGAGCUUGCUUUCUUUGCUGACGAGCGGCGGACGGGUGAGUAAUGCCUGGGGAAUUGCCCUGAUGUGGGGGAUAACCAUUGGAAACGAUGGCUAAUACCGCAUGAUAGCUUCGGCUCAAAGAGGGGGACCUUCGGGCCUCUCGCGUCAGGAUAUGCCCAGGUGGGAUUAGCUAGUUGGUGAGGUAAUGGCUCACCAAGGCGACGAUCCCUAGCUGGUCUGAGAGGAUGAUCAGCCACACUGGAACUGAGACACGGUCCAGACUCCUACGGGAGGCAGCAGUGGGGAAUAUUGCACAAUGGGCGCAAGCCUGAUGCAGCCAUGCCGCGUGUAUGAAGAAGGCCUUCGGGUUGUAAAGUACUUUCAGUCGUGAGGAAGGGGGUAUCGUUAAUAGCGGUAUUCUUUGACGUUAGCGACAGAAGAAGCACCGGCUAACUCCGUGCCAGCAGCCGCGGUAAUACGGAGGGUGCGAGCGUUAAUCGGAAUUACUGGGCGUAAAGCGCAUGCAGGUGGUUUGUUAGGUCAGAUGUGAAAGCCCGGGGCUCAACCUCGGAGUUGCAUUUGAAACUGGCAGGCUAGAGUACUGUAGAGGGGGGUAGAAUUUCAGUGUAGCGGUGAAAUGCGUAGAGAUCUGAAGGAAUACCGGUGGCGAAGGCGGCCCCCUGGACAGAUACUGACACUCAGAUGCGAAAGCGUGGGGAGCAAACAGGAUUA
rnacentral:rRNA from 1 species